GGCGGCGUGCUUAACACAUGCAAGUCGAACGAUGAACCUCACUUGUGGGGGGAUUAGUGGCGAACGGGUGAGUAACACGUGAGUAACCUGCCCUUAACUCUGGGAUAAGCCUGGGAAACUGGGUCUAAUACCGGAUAUGACUCCUCAUCGCAUGGUGGGGGGUGGAAAGCUUUAUUGUGGUUUUGGAUGGACUCGCGGCCUAUCAGCUUGUUGGUGAGGUAAUGGCUCACCAAGGCGACGACGGGUAGCCGGCCUGAGAGGGUGACCGGCCACACUGGGACUGAGACACGGCCCAGACUCCUACGGGAGGCAGCAGUGGGGAAUAUUGCACAAUGGGCGCAAGCCUGAUGCAGCGACGCCGCGUGAGGGAUGACGGCCUUCGGGUUGUAAACCUCUUUCAGUAGGGAAGAAGCGAAAGUGACGGUACCUGCAGAAGAAGCGCCGGCUAACUACGUGCCAGCAGCCGCGGUAAUACGUAGGGCGCAAGCGUUAUCCGGAAUUAUUGGGCGUAAA
rnacentral:rRNA from 1 species